rnacentral:rRNA from 1 species
GUUUCCGUAGGUGAACCUGCGGAAGGAUCAUUAAAGAGUAAGGGUCUCUGGCCCGAACCUCCAACCCUCUGUUGUUAUAACUACUUCGUUGCUUUGGCGGGACCGCAAAGGUUUCCACUCGAGCGCGCCGGUCUCCGGACAGGCGAGCGCCCGCCAGAGUCUAACCAAACUCUUGUUUUAAACCAGUCGUCUGAGUAUAAAAUUUUAAUUAAAUUAAAACUUUCAACAACGGAUCUCUUGGUUCUCGCAUCGAUGAAGAACGCAGCGAAAUGCGAUAAGUAAUGUGAAUUGCAGAAUUCAGUGAAUCAUCGAAUCUUUGAACGCACAUUGCGCCCCUUGGUAUUCCGAGGGGCAUGCCUGUUCGAGCGUCAUUACACCACUCAAGCACUGCUUGGUAUUGGGCACUCGUCCGUCGAAAGACGGGCGUGCCUCGAAGACCUCGGCGGGGUUUCUCCAACUUCGGGCGUAGUAGAGUUAAAUCAAAACGUCUUAUAAGCUUGGUGAGAUCUCAUUGCCGUUAAACCUUUUUAUUUUCAGGUUGACCUCGGAUCAGGUAGGGAUACCCGCUGAACUUAAGCAUAUCAAU